rnacentral:tRNA from 1 species
AUCGGUGAGCGCAGGCUGAGCACUUCGGUCUCCAAAACUGCAAGUCGAAGGUUCAAAUCCUUCCACCGGUGCCA